UUUACCCUUACUCCUUUGCCACAUUUGGCCUCCUUUCUUUGCCAUCUGCGGUCUUUCUCCUCUUCCUCAGUAAUGGCGCCAGCCUUCUCCUCUUCCUCAACAAUGGCGUCCGAAAAAACUCACCAGCCUAGAAAAACUCACCAUUCGCCCCUGUCUUCUUUCCUUCUCCUCCUCUCACUAAUCAACCAUGGGAUUCGAAUUCAAAGCAAGAACAAAGGAAAACAACAUUUUGAUGGCGGGGGUAGGUGAUCUUUUUGAUGGCGGGGGUGGAUCUUUCUUUUUCUUUUGAAUUGCCAAAAACGAGGCAGAGGAUAGGCGCAAUUGUAGGCGAGAUCGGGUUUGUGUCGGCCUCUCCCUCAUUUUUUGCAGUUCAGAAGAAAAGGUCCCUGCGAAAUCCCACCGUUUGAAGCAGGAUGGUGGAUUAUUUUGUCCAGUUAUGUUGGUACUUUGAUUUUUCAACCAAAUUUUUGGGGUUUUGAUUUUAGGGUUUCAGUUUGGUUCGUCGUACUUUUGGGGGUUUGUUUUGCCGGAUUUUCAGUUAAGAUUUUGGGAUUCUGGGUUUUCAGUUUGUUUUUCCAGAUUUUCAGUUAUGAUUUUAGGAUUUUAGGAUUCUAGGAUUAUUAACAAAUGUUUGGGUUUUGAUUUUACCGAAGACGAGAAUCGAUUUGUUGAUACUCUAAUUGGCAUUCAAGGACGAGGUCGCACAGCUUCUCCUCAACACCUCAAAGUACUCAUCUUUCUUUUUUCUAAAAAGUUAAUUAUUUGAUCAUUUCUUUGUAGUUUUGAUUUCGUUCUGCAUUAAGAUAUUUGGUAGGAGCAAAAAAAAGUGAAAUUGUAAAAAAGAGAGAUGAGCAAAUCCAAGAACUCAGAGAGAUGGUUUAGGUGUAGAGAACAUAGAAUUAAUAGCAAAGUCGGGGCUCAUGAAAGAGAAUUUUUGGAAACUUGAUGCGGAUGUGAUUUCUUCAAUGUGCUUUGAUUGGGGGAGAGACAAAAGAUUGGCAAGUACUCAUUUUGGUGAAGUUUUAUACGGAGUAAUUAAGGCUCUCGAUUCUGAAAAAGUUAGCCUUACUUCCAGUGCAGGAAUGGCUAUAGAUGGAAAUCCUCAGGAAGCAGGUUAUCUUGAUCUUGAAUACAUUCUUUCACACCAGCUCACCGAGAAGAGUGAUGUUUACCGUUUUUGAGUAGUUCUUGUGGAGCUUUUGACAUAGAAAAGGACAAUUAGUUCUCCUAACUCCGCUGAUGGGCAAAAUUUAAUGUUGUGGACUGUGGUUUCUAUCAGGUAUGAGAACUUUGGACUUGUAUGAUAUAUUGGCACCUCAGGUUGUGAAAUAUGGUAGGAAAGAAAGCAUCCUAGCAAAUCUGGCUAAGAAGUGUUUAAACAUGGAUGGGCAACAAAGGCCGACAAUUAGAGAAGUUUUGUUGCAGUUGGAGGUCAUAGGUCAACUGGAAGAUGGGACUGUUUAACAUCAAAAUAAUCCUUGAUCUAGAGACGAAGAAACUUUUGAAAGGGCCUUUUAAGGCUUUUUUCUCUACCAGGUCGUUGAAAGAUGUUUAGUGGAAGGGGAAAGUGUUAAAGUGAUGAAGCAAAAUGGAUAAAAGUCUUACUUCUAUAAUGGUUUGGAAGCUUGAGUCUCAGGUGACAACAGUCAAUUUCAGGUUCCUGUUAAUCCGACAAGAAUAGGCUAGAGGUCACGGAGGAGACACUUAUUCCGGAGAUCACACGGAGUUUAACUGUUUAAGUAAUGUUCCUAAGCCUCCACACACAUCUUGCCUGAAGAGGACCAGUUCCUGCUCAUAUGGAACACUACAUGAUGGAAAGAUGUCUGACAAGGGAUUGGAGAGGAGAUGGGAGUGUGAGGUCUAUCGCAUGGUCUUAUAGUUCAGAAGUACGCUUACAUCAUGCUUACAAGAAGAGUUGCGAAUGUGGUUGAUGAACAGUCGUAUGCCGAUCUUUUUCUUUGAAAUUACUGCCAUGAAUUGACCAAGAGUGGUUGGUGAUUUGUAAGUAUCACUAACCAAGAGCUAUAAGUAAUUAAUUGUACGUGGUUAUUAGACUUAGUAAUUAUUCAUACACCAUAAAUAUUGUUGCUAACAGCCUCUUGGAAAUUGUCUUUUAAGUCUUUACCUUUUGCAAUCUCAUUUUGCAUCAUACUGUGGAAGGGUCAAGGUGGAAGGAUAUUCCUGAAUUAGGGUGGUGGAGAUGGCUGUGGGGUUUUGAGUUUUGACUAUCUUUGGUGCUUAACUUUUUGUUGGAAUAUCUGCAAAGAAUCCAAGUUUUAUUUUGUAGCAUAACAGUGUUUCGGAAUCAUUUGAUAUGGAAAAUGAUUGAAACCUUAAAUGAAGGAUAACAAAAGAAAAGUAAAACUGUUAAAAUUAGUACAAGUAUUUACCUAAUUGUUUGGAUGAACAAUGUAGGAAACGAAUGAAGUGUGUGAGUGAUGCGGAAAACAUCAUCACAUCAUCAGUUGUGUAAUAGUAAGUCUGCUAUUUAUUGAUUGUCUUGAAAUGUGACGAUGGCAUCCGUGGUAUCUGUGAGGUAUAGUGACUGGUUCUAUAGUUUUUUUGUCUGUGAUACUGGAUCUCCAUCAUGCCUUAAAUUAAAAUGUCAGGAUAUUUCCUUGACUAAUGAUGACAUAAAUGUUUUCUAAUGUAAAGUAAAUCCUGGACUGCCAUGCCUCUCACAUUGUUGUUCAGCUUUCUGAGCUUCUGAGCAAGAUUGAUAGGCGGUCUGGAAAGAAGAUCGAGAAGGACCCUAAUUUCUUGAAGAAUGGUGAUGCUGGGCCAAUGGUGGUGAAGCUUUCGCAGAGUACUCUCCAUUUGGUCGUUUUUCUGUGAAGGACAUGAGACAGAAUGCUGUUGUUGGUGCCAUCAAGAGUAUCGAGAAGAAGGACCCAAUUGGUGCCAAGGUCACCAAGGCCGCCUGCGUUCAUGAGUUACUUUCAGUAUGUGAUUGUUAUACAGACUUGAUCGUCCCAGUUAAUUCUGACUUUAUGUUAUGCUUGUCUUGUUUUUUUGUGUGUUGUAAGCUAGCUUCGUCACCAAUAUCUUGGACCCGUUCAGAGAAUUGGAUACUUGAUUGUGGGUGGUGAGGUUUUGAUCUACAAUGCCAGUAUUUUUAGUUUUCUUUACAUGUAAGGGGAAAUUACAAUAGGAUAUCAUUUUACCAGGGGAAUCCAUAACGAAUUAUUGUAAAUGGAAUUACGCUUCCUGCUACAAAAUGUUACAAAUUAUCGAUAUAUAUGAAUAAAAAGAGACGAUCAAGAUCAUGUUCUCGUUUAGUAUCUCAUAUUUUCUCUGAAUGAUUUCACUUUAUGACCACUUGCUUCUUAUAGAUUCAUUUGGAAGGGUGUCAGAAUAGAUGAUUAUUUUGAAUAAAAAACUUUUGUGAAGUCAAAGAUAAAAAAUGUAUGUGCUUGCAGUGGAGAUAUUUGAGCUUCAAUUCCUUCUGAUAUGAUUUUAGCAAAACUCAAACAGGAGGUAAUUACUGAUCUCUCAAGCAGGAAAGCAGUGGUUAUUAACCUCAUUAUAAUUUAGCAGCAAGUCAAAGGCUUUACAACUUAUGAUCUUCCUGAGUUUACACCCAAAAAAAUCAAAUUAAGAGUAAAACGUAUGAAAAGUAAAGUUUAUCUAAUGAACCAAACGAAAGUCUUGGGGGGAGAUGGAAGAGUUCAUCUCUCACUGGCCUGUGUUUUCGGUUGAUACAGUAUUGCUUCUUGUGAUUCAGAUGGCUGCUUGGUAUGAAAUAAUAAUUCAAAUACAUACUUUCAUCUGCUAGCUGGUUGGUGAUACAUGAAAGGCGUAGAACUUUAGCCACUUUCAAGGGACGUUCCCCUGAGUUUGGUUUCAGGUUUGUGGGUGGCUGAACAAUCUCUUCUAAUUGCGGCGUGGUAAGCCAGAAACGCGGGGCUAUAGGAUGAGCGCAUGUAUGAAUAUCAUUUCAAGAUUUAAGCAAGCAUGUGUAAAAGGAUGUUCAUGUUCCUUAUGUGUCAGGCUUGGUUUGCUGUAAAGAGGCGUUCCAACAUUGAGCUGGAAGAAUUGAGCUGGGAGAAUUACAGGCAAUCGAGUUUGUUCUGAUUACAAAACUUUGAGCUGCGAGAAAUGAGAAUUACUUCCAAUCGAGCUUCCAGCAGCCACAUAUGUUUUUUUGUAACUAUUAAAAAUCUCUAUAGAUUAUCAUAAUAUUUGUUAAAUUCAUCAGUAUAUUAUUUUUUCAGUUAUCAUCUUUUUUCUUUGUGUAGAAUUUGCAACAGAAUGUUAGUUGUAAGACUGUCUACAUUUCGACUUAUGUAUGUAACUUUAUUUUUUGUA